rnacentral:rRNA from 1 species
UACGAAGGGGGCUAGCGUUGCUCGGAAUGACUGGGCGUAAAGGGCGCGUAGGCGGACGGCUUUGUCGGGCGUGAAAUUCCAGGGCUUAACCUUGGGUGUGCGUUCGAGACGGGUUGUCUUGAGUUUGGAAGAGGGUCGUGGAAUUCCCAGUGUAGAGGUGAAAUUCGUAGAUAUUGGGAAGAACACCGGUGGCGAAGGCGGCGACCUGGUCCAAGACUGACGCUGAGGCGCGACAGCGUGGGGAGCAAAAGGG